AUACGUAGGGUGCAAGCGUUAAUCGGAAUUACUGGGCGUAAAGCGUGCGCAGGCGGUUUUGUAAGACAGUGGUGAAAUCCCCGGGCUCAACCUGGGAACUGCCAUUGUGACUGCAAGGCUGGAGGGCGGCAGAGGGGGAUGGAAUUACGCGUGUAGCAGUGAAAUGCGUAGAUAUGCGGAGGAACACCGAUGGCGAAGGCAAUCCCCGGGGCCUGCACUUGCGCUCAUGCAAGAAAUCGUGGGGAGCAAACAGGAUUAGAUACCCUGGUAGUCCACGCCCUAAACGAUGGCAACUGGUUGUUGGGGAUUUAUUUUCUCAGUAACGAAGCUAACACGUGAAGGGGACCGCCUGGGGAGUUCGGCCUCAAGGUUAAAACUCAAAGGAAUUGACGGGG
rnacentral:rRNA from 1 species